GGUUGGGGGCGGGGGGGCUGGCGGCGCCACCACCGACCGUCCCCGACAACCUUUCCGCGGGCGCCCAAAUUCGUUCACUUGCGAAUUGCGUAAGCGGCUCCUCCGGGUCCCCGGGCCGAGAGAACUGCGCGGGCUUGCUGCCUGCUGCACCUUGCUAGGCCCACCGCUCCAGCCUGAACGCCCUCCACUCCCUGCCCUGCACUUGGUGUUCCAGCAACGUUGGACUGGUUCUCUCUCCCUGCUGUGGUUGAUGAUGCUGGCCCUCCUGCCUGGCUUUCCCACCGCCACCCUUUGCCCGACUGAUGUCACUAGCCUUUUAAAACCGGUUCUGAUUACCUCCCCUCGCAGCUGCCUCACCCUGCCGUAGAAGCCGCCCUUCUUCUCCGCGCCUUCGCUCCUGUUUACAUCUCUGUGACUACGCUUAGGUUUGCACACGAUUGCUUUUUCCUUCUGUGAGAUACUUGAAGAUAGGGGCCCUGUCUUACCCGCCAUGAACAUUAUGUGGCACACACUAGUCCAUAGAAGCAGUCACUUGCCACCUGUGUGCUUUCCAUCUCAUCAUUUAAGGCUAGCCCUAGGACCCCGGAACCGCUGAAGAAUCAAGGUGGCCUGCGGUCACAUGCUGAUUUCCAUGGCACCAGGUAGUAGUGAUCACAGGGGGAGGGCCGGAGUCUUUUGGAUGUGGAUGAUGGGGAAGCUGAGAUGGCCGGAUAAAGGGACUGACAUUUGUGUUGGGGUUCUAGCUGAUUUGUGGAAGAGAAGGAUCCAGCUAAUGAAAAUUGGUACCUUUGCAUCUUAAAGGGAUAGGUGACUUGCGAAGGCUACACUGGUACCCUUUUUCUAAGACACCCUUCUGUAGGUUCUUUCCAGAGGCCGUGGCAGGUUGGGUGGUGUGGAACCCCGGACAACUUGGUUAUUUUGUGAUACAGCAAUUCACAGCGGGUGCAUCUGUUACCAGGUGUUUUCAGGAUGCUGAAUCUUGUUCGAUCUCACGUUCGCUUUGCCAGCCUGUAAUCUGUCAUACGCUGAAAGUCAGAGAAGGAGGAUUUUAAUUUCUGCUUGACAUUUGACUAAGCAGAAGACAUCGGACAAGAGAACAUCUCACUAAACACCUGUAGGGACAGAUUGGGUGAGCCCUGAUCUGAAAGCAGAAGCCCGCUGUAGAUUACCUCAUCACUAGCUAGCUGCUCUCUUCAGCCACCCUUACGCCUCUCUGUGACUUCUAAGAGGUGAUUACAUUAGAGGGUUUAAUCGAGAGUUUUCUCUUUAUUGCCAGACCUAAAGAGUGCUGGCCUCAGAUCAAGUAUGGCUUCCUAGCCAAGCUCUGCCACUCACUGGAGACGAGACGUAGUCACUAGUUAGGUGAGUGAUAGAUAGGCUGAGAUGAGCCCUUUGAGUUACAGAGGCAUCCUUGGCUGUGAUCGGAGGAAGCGUGCCAUGGGCUCGCCCCCCCCCAACCCCCCUGCUGAGCAGUGUAAGCUUUGGGCCUCAGGAGCUUGGCAUGCUUCCAGGUGGGUUGUGGGUUUAUAUAUAAAGUUCAGCAGGGUGGGUUGCAGCUCAGAGCAAGUAAGAACUGGUCUGGAAGUCACAACAAGGCCUUUCCCCAACGGUGUUUCCCAGGGAGGGAACAGAAGAGAGGAGACCAGAAGAUUGCUUUAAAUCCAUUGUGUAGAACAUAGAAACUAUAUGGGUAUUGUGUAUUUGCUAGAUCCUGAGAGUCACUUUCUCUAUAUGCUUUCCACAUUUUUUAUAAUGAACAUGUAUUUCUUAAAUCAGAUCAAUAAAACUUUUUUCUUUAA